AGUCUUCGGACUGAGUGGCGGACGGGUGAGUAACGCGUGAGAAUCUGCCUAGAGGUCGGGGACAACCAUUGGAAACGAUGGCUAAUACCGGAUAUGCCUUACGGGGUGAAAGAUUAAUUGCCUUUAGAAGAGCUCGCGUCUGAUUAGCUAGUUGGUGAGGUAAGAGCUCACCAAGGCAGCGAUCAGUAGCUGGUCUGAGAGGAUGACCAGCCACACUGGGACUGAGACACGGCCCAGACUCCUACGGGAGGCAGCAGUGGGGAAUUUUCCGCAAUGGGUGAAAGCCUGACGGAGCAAGACCGCGUGAGGGAGGAAGGCUCUUGGGUUGUAAACCUCUUUUGUCAGGGAAGAACAAAAUGACGGUACCUGACGAAUCAGCAUCGGCUAACUCCGUGCCAGCAGCCGCGGUAAUACGGAGGAUGCAAGCGUUAUCCGGAAUUAUUGGGCGUAAAGCGUCCGCAGGUGGCACUUCAAGUCUGCUGUCAAAGGUCGGGGCUUAACCCCGGGAAGGCAGUGGAAACUGAAGCGCUAGAGUGUCGUAGGGGUAGAGGGAAUUCCCGGUGUAGCGGUGAAAUGCGUA
rnacentral:rRNA from 1 species